UACGGGGGGGGCAAGCGUUGUUCGGAAUUACUGGGCGUAAAGGGUGCGUAGGCGGCGGGGCAAGUCGGAUGUGAAAUCUCAGGGCUCAACCCUGAAACUGCAUUCGAUACUGCCUUGCUCGAGGACUGGAGAGGAGAUUGGAAUUCACGGUGUAGCAGUGAAAUGCGUAGAUAUCGUGAGGAAGACCAGUGGCGAAGGCGGAUCUCUGGACAGUUCCUGACGCUGAGGCACGAAGGCCAGGGGAGCAAACGGG
rnacentral:rRNA from 1 species